GCGAUUAUAGCUCAGUUGGUUAGAGCGCCGGUUUGUGGUACCGGAGGUCGAGGGUUCGAACCCCUUUAAUCGCCCCA
rnacentral:tRNA from 2 species